UUUGCAAUCCUAGUUUUUUUUUUUAAUUCUCAUAAAACUUUAUUGAUGGACAUCAAGAUUUGAAUUUGACAUGACUUUUCACAUGCUACAAAAAUAUUUUCUUCUGUUGAUAGUUCUCAACCUUUGAAAAAUGGAAAAACCAUUCUUAGCAGGUUCUGCACAAAACCAAGCAAUGGGGGAGGGGCUUGGGCUGCAGGGGCAGUUGGCUGAGCCCUG